GACGAACCGUGCGAACGUUAUUCGGAAUCACUGGGCUUAAAGCGCGUGUAGGCGGGCCGGCACGUCGGUCGCUGAAAUCCCCCGGCUCAACCGGGGAAGGGGCGCCGAUACGACCGGCCUGGAGGGGCGUAGGGGGACCGGGAACUUCCGGUGGAGCGGUGAAAUGCGUUGAGAUCGGAAGGAACGCCCGCGGCGAAAGCGCGGUCCUGGACGCCUGCUGACGCUGAGACGCGAAAGCCAGGGGAGCGAACGGG
rnacentral:rRNA from 1 species